ACAUCCAAGGAAGGCAGCAGGCGCGUAAAUUACCCAAUCGUAACUCACGGAGGUAGUGACGAAAAAUACUAAUACGGGGCUCUACGAGCUUUGUAAUUGGAAUGAGAACAAUUUAAAUCCCUUAACGAGGAUCAAUUGGAGGGCAAGUCUGGUGCCAGCAGCCGCGGUAAUUCCAGCUCCAAUAGCGUAUAUUAAAGUUGUUGCAGUUAAAAAGCUCGUAGUUGAAUUUCUGGGCGGCCCGCCGGUCUUCCAAGUGUUGUACUGGGCGGCGCCGGCCAUCCUUGUGGAGAGGGCUCGCAUUUGGUUGUGGGUCGGAUCUGCAUCAUUUACUGUGAAAAAAUUAGAGUGUUUAAAGCAGGCUGUCGCUUGAAUACAUUAGCAUGGAAUAAUAAGAUAGGACUUCGGUCUAUUUUGUUGGUUGCGAACCGAGGUAAUGAUUAAUAGGGAUAGUUGGGGGUAUUCAUAUUUAAUUGUCAGAGGUGAAAUUCUUGGAUUUAUGAAAGAUGAACAACUGCGAAAGCAUUUACCAAGGAUGUUUUCAUUAAUCAAGAACGAAAGUCAGGGGAUCGAAGAGGAUUAGAUACCCUCGUAGUCUUGACCAUAAACUAUGCCGACUCAGGAUUGGCAGGCGUUUUCUAACGACCCUGUCAGCACUGUAUGAAAAAUCAAAGUCUUUGGGUUCCGGGGGGAGUAUGGUCGCAAGGCUGAAACUUAAAGGAAUUGACGGAAGGGCACCACCAGGAGUGGAGCCUGCGGCUUAAUUUGACUCAACACGGGGAAACUUACCAGGUCCAGACAUAGUGAGG
rnacentral:rRNA from 1 species